GAAAGUUCAAGGUCGCACUGUGUAUUCACUUGUGUUGUCGAGUCCCACUGCA
rnacentral:sRNA from 1 species